UUACGGCCAUAUCACGCUGAAACACCACUUCCCGUACGACCACCGAAAUUAAGCAACGUCGAGCCUAGUCAGUACCAAGAUGGGUGACCACUUCGGAACACCAGGUGCU